UACGUAGGGACCAAGCGUUGUUCGGAUUUACUGGGCGUAAAGGGCGCGUAGGCGGCGUGGUAAGUCACUUGUGAAAUCUCUGAGCUUAACUCAGAACGGCCAAGUGAUACUGCUGUGCUAGAGUGCAGAAGGGGCAAUCGGAAUUCUUGGUGUAGCGGUGAAAUGCGUAGAUAUCAAGAGGAACACCGAUGGCGAAGGCAGCUCUCUGGGCCUGUUCUGACGCUGAGGAGCGAAAGCUGGGGGAGCGAACAGG
rnacentral:rRNA from 1 species